rnacentral:rRNA from 1 species
GAUGAACGCUGGCGGCGUGCCUAAUACAUGCAAGUCGAGCGAACAGACGAGGAGCUUGCUCCUCUGACGUUAGCGGCGGACGGGUGAGUAACACGUGGAUAACCUACCUAUAAGACUGGGAUAACUUCGGGAAACCGGCGCUAAUACCGGAUAAUAUAUUGAACCGCAUGGUUCAAUAGUGAAAGACGGUUUUGCUGUCACUUCUAGAUGGAUCCGCGCCGCAUUAGCUAGUUGGUAAGGUAACGGCUUACCAAGGCGACGAUGCGUAGCCGACCUGAGAGGGUGAUCCGCCACACUGGAACUGAGACACGGUCCAGACUCCUACGGGAGGCAGCAGUAGGGAAUCUUCCGCAAUGGGCGAAAGCCUGACGGAGCAACGCCGCGUGAGUGAUGAAGGUCUUCGGAUCGUAAAACUCUGUUAUUAGGGAAGAACAAAUGUGUAAGUAACUAUGCACGUCUUGACGGUACCUAAUCAGAAAGCCACGGCUAACUACGUG